ensembl:lncRNA
GAGAUGGCGAAAUAGCUGGUGGCUAUCUCCUACGGCGAGACCGCAGUGCUGGCGUGGCACAGAAAGGCUGCGGGCGGGGUUGAGAGCUCUGCCCAUCCGGGCACUCCGGAGCGGACAGAUAGACGGGACGGCUGGGGACGCCGCCGGGUUUUCCUUGCCCCGCUCCGAUUUUUACUGGAUUUUAAUGCUGUGGCUGACGCCACCUGACUUUUCAUGUUUAUGUUUUACUGGUUUUUAUUGUGUUCUUUUAUUGUGUUUAAAGCCCCACUCAUCUGGUUUGUUGGCAAUAUACUGGUGGAGAGUGCCAGCCCUUGUAGCUUCAUAUGAAACCAUGACCUCAAACACACUGUGGUUGUAGGUGGAUGGUAUCAUUAGACACCGCUCACGAAUCCUCCACAGGAC